rnacentral:rRNA from 1 species
CGGCGGACGGGUGAGUAACACGUGGAUAACCACUAUAAGACUGGGAUAACUUCGGGAAACCGGAGCUAAUACCGGAUAAUAUAUUGAACCGCAUGGUUCAAUAGUGAAAGACGGUUUUGCUGUCACUUAUAGAUGGAUCCGCGCCGCAUUAGCUAGUUGGUAAGGUAACGGCUUACCAGGGCAACGAUGCGUAGCCGACCUGAGAGGGUGAUCGGCCACACUGGAACUGAGACACGGUCCAGACUCCUACGGGAGGCAGCAGCC